CCCGGGUCAGACUCUAUAGCCACCGAUUGCCAGACCCCUGCCCUAACAUCCCCUCACCCACACACACCUCCAACCCGGGUCAGACUCUAUAGCCACCGAUUGCCAGACCCCUGCCCUAACAUCCCCUCACCCACACACACCUCCAACCCGGGUCAGACUCUAUAGCCACCGAUUGCCAGACCCCUGCCCUAACAUCCCCUCACCCACACACACCUCCAACCCGGGUCAGACUCUAUAGCCACCGAUUGCCAGACCCCUGCCCUAACAUCCCCUCACCCACACACCUCCAACCCGGGUCAGACUCUAUAGCCACCGAUUGCCAGACCCCUGCCCUAACAUCCCCUCACCCACACACACCUCCAACCCGGGUCAGACUCUAUAGCCACCGAUUGCCAGACCCCUGCCCUAACAUCCCCUCACCCACACACACCUCCAACCCGGGUCAGACUCUAUAGCCACCGAUUGCCAGACCCCUGCCCUAACAUCCCCUCACCCACACACACCUCCAACCCGGGUCAGACUCUAUAGCCACCGAUUGCCAGACCCCUGCCCUAACAUCCCCUCACCCACUCACACCUCCAACCCGGGUCAGACUCUAUAGCCACCGAUUGCCAGACCCCUGCCCUAACAUCCCCUCACACACACACAC